UCUCGGCUGGUGUAAAUGGUAGCAUUCGCGUUGCUUGAGCGCAAGGUACGGGUUCGAAUCACGUGUCGAGAA
rnacentral:tRNA from 1 species